rnacentral:rRNA from 1 species
CCUACGGGUGGCAGCAGUGAGGAAUAUUGGUCAAUGGACGCAAGUCUGAACCAGCCAUGCAGCGUGCAGGAUGACGGCUCUAUGGGUUGUAAACUGCUUUUAGACGGGGAUAAAAGGCGAUACGUGUGUCGCGUUUAAUAUAUCUUACGAAUAAGGGUCGGCGAACUCCGUGCGAGCAGCCGCGGUAAUACGGAGGAUUCAAGCGUUAUCCGGGUUUAUUGGGUUUAAAGGGUGCGUAGGCGGGCUGUUAAGUCAGAGGUGAAAUCCCGCGGAUCAACGGUGGCAUUGCCGUUGAUACUGUAGGCCGUGAGUUCAGUUGCGGUAGGCGGAAUUCAUGGUGUAGCGGUGAAAUGCUUAGAGAUCAUAAAGAACUCCGAUCGCGAAGGCAGCUUACCAGACUACGACUGACGUUGAGGCUCGAAAGUGCGGGUAGCAAACAGGAUUAGAUACCCGUGUAGUC